GGCUUCAUCCCACAUCUCUUUCCUGGCGCCCUCUCUGCAGUCCAACCUGGUUGCCUCUGAUACUGGCUCACCCACUGAGGCCAAGAGGCUCUGUAACCUCCAGUCGAACUCAUCCUCCACUUUGAGCGCUGUCCAGGGACUUGCUGGCUCCAUAUCGCUCCAUAAUAAUUCCGGUGUCUCCGAGCUGUUUCUCCUCGCACUAGGACGCCAUCCCACCGCUGCCAUCAAUGUAACGGAGCUCCCUGUACUCCGACCGAG